AAAUAAGUUAAAAAUUAAAAAUAACUUAAUUCACCUUCCACCCGGUAACCUCUUCAAACCAGAAAAAUCAUCGGCCAUCAUUGACCACCAAAUCUGCUGAAAUUUCAUCUCCUAGUUGGUGACCUCAAUCCACAUACACACCCCCACACAAUUAAUAGGACAAACAACAAUACAAGAAAACCAAAAAUCAAAUUGAAAAGCCAAAGAGCCGCACGGCUUAACCCCUCAAACUAUCACCCAUGGUCGCGCCUCACUGCCGAUAGUCAUGCCCAGUCUAGGCGAGCAUAUUCAUGAUUGAACAUCAUCAAAUCAAGGUCAUAUCACGACGGAACGGUAAUUCAGUAGUUUACUCAAAUUGUGGUGGAGAUUGAUGAAGAAGGGAAGCCUUGACUAUAGGAAGUAAAAGAGUUGUGAUCGAAAUUGGGCAAGCGAUAGCGAGGUUGUGGUCGUAGCUAAGACGGCGGUGCCGGUUGUAGAAAACGGGAUUUGGGAAAGGGGGUGGGGUUUGUGAAGGAGACCCUUUUUAUUUCUUUUCUUAUUUUCUUUGGUUUUUUAUUUUACUUUAUAAUUUUUUUAUUUUUUAUCUAUUUUAUUUAAUAUGAUAAUUUUAAAUUUACCAUUCGA
rnacentral:lncRNA from 1 species